rnacentral:rRNA from 1 species
UCCGUAGGCAGCAAGCGUUGUUCGGAAUUACUGGGCGUCAAGAGUGUGUAGGCGGUGUUCUAAGUCUGUCGUGAAAUCUCCCGGCUUAACUGGGAGGGUGCGGCGGAAACUGGAAUGCUAGAGGAUGGGAGAGGUAAGCGGAAUUCCUGGUGUAGCGGUGAAAUGCGUAGAUAUCAGGAGGAACACCUGUGGUGUAGACAGCUUACUGGACCAUUUCUGACGCUGAGACACGAAAGCGUGGGUAGCAAACAGG